rnacentral:lncRNA from 1 species
GCUCGCCCCCGCCAAGCUAGAUCCUCCCAGGGGGAAAAAAAAGUUUCUCUAUUCCCCCCACUCCUCGGCCUGGAGGGAAAAAACAUCCCAUAAAACCCUAGACUUGAACGUUCUGGCGGCUCCAAAUUUCCAGUCCCCUGGCCCGGCGGAGCGAGAAGUCAGGGAAAGGUAAGUGGUGCCGGCCCUUGGAGAAGUUUCAGUGGAGACUAGCUCAAGAUGGAAACCGCAGCCCGGGCACUCAGGACAGGCUGCAGCUCCCGCUUACAAAAAGAGAAAGUCGAGCCCGCCUUCCUGCCCGACAAAAAACAACAACACAACAACAAGAACUCCGAAGGGGGUGGAAUGAGUGAUGUCACAGAGCCGCGCUCCGAGGCUGACAAAGGGGGGGCGAGCCCCUCCCCCUCUGCGCCGCGCGGCCCCAGGGAGGGGCGCCCAAAGCGCCGGGGAGCUGAGCCCGCCGACUCGAAACUUUUCCUCUUUAAGAAAAAAAGUUGUGCGCGGCUCGGAGUGGG